GCCUGCCCGCGGCCGCUGCGUAUGUGCCUGCGACAGCAGGUCUCUGCUGCUGCUGCUAUUCACUUCAGUCAUGUCCGACUCUGUGCGACCCGAUAGACGGCAGCCCACCAGGCUCCCCUGUCCCUGGGAUUCUCCAGGCAAGACCACUGGAAAGCCACCACCUGUAGGUUCUCUGAAGGGAGGCAACAGGUUGGUGCUAGAUGACGACCUUUGGGGGAAUAGAAGAGAGGCGUCAGCCAGACCGUGCCUGUGUGACGGGGCUCCUGGAUCUGAAGGCCGGGCUCCAGGGGUUGUGGUGCCCGCGCCAGCUCCUGGCACAGUGAACACGUUCCGCCUGACGGGAAGGCAGACGCGGGGAAGGAGAGUGUUGGGGAUACCAACGCAAACAAGACAAGGUGCCCGACCCCAAAACGCCGACGAGAUGAGCCACACAGGAGGAGCGCCUCUGCGUCUAUGGAGCCAGGAGAGACUGCGUUGAGAGGACAGCUGUCGGGAGAGCUCUAAAGACAGGUGGGUGGCCAGGGGGUGGUGGGUAGAGAGAGGCAAGAAUUCAGGAACCCGGGGCAGAGAAAAAGGCAGGGGAAAGUCAGGGGUGACUGAAUGCAUGCUCUGUGUUACUCCAGGGAGUGUGGACGCCACUGGUCCUUCGGUGUAAAGGAAGCGAAGUUUUUUGUGAUGUUUUAUGUAUUUAACUUAAAAUUAGACAAAAUCGGAUAAAAAA
ensembl:lncRNA